ACAAAUUUACCUAGGUAAUCAUGCAAAACAUGGUUCAUCAAUCUCAUAAAUGUGCUAGGUGCAUUAGUUAAGCCAAAAGGCAUCACUAACCAUUCAUAUAAACUAUAUUUUGUCUUAAAGGCAGUUUUCCACUCCUCACCUAACUUCAUCCUAAUUUGAUGAUAACCGCUUUUCAAAUCAAUUUUUGUAAAGAAAACAGCACCACAUAAUUCUUCAAGCAUAUCAUCUAAUCUAGGAAUAGGAUGGCGAUACUUUAUAGUGAUUUUGUUGAUCGCACGACAAUCAACACACAUACGCAUUGUUCCAUCUUUCUUUGGAACCAACAAAACAGGUACUGCGCAUGGACUGAGGCUCUCCCUGAUAUGUCCCUUAGCUAGCAACUCAUCAACUUGCUUUUGCAAUUCUUUCGUCUCCUCAGGAUUACUCCAGUAAGCUGGACGGUUUGGAAUCUAAGCUCCAGGAAUAAUCGAUUUGAUGUUCUAUUCCCCUAAUGGGUGGCAACCCAGAUGGCACCUCCUCUGGAUAUACAUCCGCAAAGUCCUGCAAUAACUUAGAAAAAGAACUAGGGAAUUCAUUAGUAGGGUUAGUCUCAAUCAUAAAAUUGGAACUAAAGCGCAAUAUAAUUAAAACUCUCUUCCCUAAGUAUACUUUCUUCAACUCUCUCUCUCUACAAUAAAAGGAAGACUUGCUGAAUUCUUUACUCUUUUCACUCAGCUCUCCUUUUACCUCCACACUCACUAACGUUUUCUCUCCUGCACAUCUCUCAUUUUUAUCCUUUCCUGUGCAGUCACUCUCCUUUGGGCCAUUCGAAACUUUCUUUUUACUACUGGCCUCUUUUCCCUCAUUUUUUUUACUUGUCUCACCUCCCUUACCCAAUUUAGCAGAUUAUUGUAAUUUCACUUGAUCUGCAUAUACAUCUUUAGGAGAUAAGGGUACAAGUAUAUGUUUUACACUAAGGAACGUAAAAGAAAACCUAUUACUAUACCCAUCAUAAAUGACACGCCUAUCAAAUUGACAUGGUCUACCUAACAAAAUAUGUCCAGCCUGCAUGGGUACAAUAUCACAAGUAACCUCAUCUACAUACUUGCCAAUAGAAAAGGGCACUUUACAUUGCUUGGUUACCUUUGCCUCGCCACUAUCAUUCAACCAUUGAAGUCUGUAAGGAUUGGGGUGUUUAAUAGUUUCUAGUCCUAAUUUAUCAACUAAAAUAGUACUAGCACAAUUAACUUGACUACCCGAAUCUAUUAUCAUGCUACAGACUUUACCACCUACCAAACAACGAGUGUGAAAGAUGUUUUCACGCUGUUCAAGUCCUUCUUCUUUAAUAGAAACAUUUAAAGUACGCAAUAUCACUAAGGACUCUCCUUGAACAGGAUACUCUUCUAUGUCUACAUCGGAACAAUCUUCUAAAGGUGGUAUUUCAUUAGAAUCAGAAUUAGUUUCGGAGACUAUCUCAUCUCCCCUCACUAUCAUGGCACGUUUAUUAACACACUCAUUGGCAUAAUGCCCGCGCCCUUUACAUUUAAAGAACUGAAUAUCUCUAGUUAUAUUUGAUUUAGGGGCUGAUUCAUUUUUACCAUGAGAGUUGGAUGUUUCUUUGGAAGGUAACAUGCCUUUUUGAGUUGAAGACUUAUCAAACCUUUUAGGAUCAGGCUUGGUGUUCCAUUUGGAACCUCAUUUGCUGUUGGAGUUUUGAGCAGCCAUGUUGCUCUCCCAUCUAUUUCGGUCUCUUUGUCUUUCCACCUUAAUUGCAAUGUUCACCAAGUCUUCGAAAUCAACACAUGGUUGCAAAUCAACCACAUCAGCAAUCUCCUUGUUAAGACCACCAAAGAAACGAGCUAUAGUCUGGUCUUCCUCCUCCACUAUGUUUGCUUUGAUCAGGAGCAACUCCAUCUCCUUAUGAUACUCAUCAACAGACUUUGAUUCCUGAGUUAAUCUUUGCAACUGAUGAUGGAGAUCUCUAUGGUAAUAAGUAGGCACAUAUUUCUUCCUCAUGAUUCGCUUCAUCUCGUCCCAACUAGCAAUGGGUAAAUCUCCAUUCCUUCUCCUAGAUUUCACAAGCUCAUCCCACCAUAUUAGUGCAUAAUCUGAAAACUCAAGGGCAGCAAGUUUUACCUUUUUAUCAUCAGAAUAGCUUUGACAGUUAAAAACCAUCUCCACUUUAUGCUCACACUCUAAAUAGACAAAAGAAAUCUGCCUAUUUCUUAAGGUGCACAUUUAAGGCAACUGCAUCUAAAUCGAUUUGGUGUCAAAUCCAUCUUUUAAUGCCCAUUUUCAUCCAUGAUGCUGCACUGAGUGAGAUAUAUAUUUUUUUUAGUCUAUUUGUGGGGUUUUGAUACUUUCCUUUUUGGGUAGAUUUAAAUAGAUCCGUAUUUAAUUUGCGUUGAAGCGAAUUAAAUUUAAACUUUUGUCCAGAUUUGUUUUUAUUUGAAUUCAAAGUUUCUUUUUUUGAUUUAAGCUUGCUUUUGCUUCCUUUACAUUGCUGGAGUAUUGUUUGCUUGUGUCUAUACUCUAGGUGAUAUUUUUCAAGUAGCACAAAACCUAGUUCAUGUGUUACUUUCCAAAUUGUCAGUGUCUUCUUUCUAGUUUUUUGCGCGCUACCUUCUUUCUUUAGGUUUUCUUCUUGGUUUCAUUAAACGCACCUUGUGGUUGAUUGGUUGACCUUAGUUUCUGAAGUGCAAUUGAAGAAUCAGCAAAAGUAUGGAUAACGAUUAUAAGCUCUUUAAGAAGUCAGUCAGUGGUGAGUUACAAAGGCUCAAUAAGACUCUUGAGAGGUUAACUGAAAUUAUGGAGAGUUUGAAUGUCUCACAAGCUUUCACUUCUACAAGAAUACUUCAAAAAACUCCUAAUUACAAUAAUGACUGUGAUGAUUUGGAUGUGUUGGUUAAUAAUGUGUUGCUUGCUGCACAUUGUGAGAUGCUUGUUGCUAGGCAUGCUCUGAAUAUGCAGGUUAAGGAAGAAAGCCUAGAACAACGGGAAAACAUAUUUCACACUAGGUAUUUGGUUAAUGGAAAAGUGUGCACUCUCAUUAUUGAUGGAGGUAGUUGCACAAAUAUGGCUAGUGUGUAUAUGGUGGAAAAAUUGGGCUAGACUUCUAUUAAACACCCUAAGCCAUAUAGAUUGCAAUGGUUGAAUGAUUGUGGUGAGGUUAGGGUUACACGCCAGAUAGUUAUACCAUUUUCUAUUGGUAGGUACAAGGAUGAGAUCUUGUGUGAUGUGGUACCUAUGCAGGCAAGCCAUAUGUUGUUGGGUAGACCGUGGCAACAUGAUAGAAAGGUGCAACAUGAUGGGUUCAAUAACAAGUACUCCUUCACUCAUGAAGGACAGAAGGUUAUACUCGCUCCUUUAUCACCUCAAGAGGUAUAUGUUGAUCAAAUAAAGAUGCUGGAGAGGGAGAGGGAGGCUUCGGCCUUGGCCACAAAGGGGGGUGAGAGCUUGAAUUCUGCGGAAAAGAUGAGAGAAAAGAGUGAGUUUGAGGGUAAAGAGGCUGGAAAAGAAUCAAGAUUAGGUCAAUGAGGGAAGGUGGAGAAAGAAAAGGAGAAAGAAGAGGCUAAAGUUCCUAUCUCAACUUCCAUAGAGAUUGAAAUUGAAGAGGAAGUUGUAAUGCAUGAAUCUAAUGUAGUUGUUGUUGAGAAUUCCAUCAAUGAACUUAUAGAAGAGGUUGUGAACAAUGAGGGCCAUGGGGAGCACGUGAUUGAUGAGGUGGAAGAGGCGAAUGAGACUGUUUUGGAAGUUGUAGAGGAGAAUGGGUCACAUCCACAAGAUCUUUCUAUGACUAAUAUUUUUAUGCCUAGUUCAUUUGUUCUUGAUGUGCAGGUUGUUGAUGAAAACAUUCAUGACAAAAGUUUUAUCCUAUUUCCACCUAUUCAAAAGGAGGUUUUUGAAGAUACAUGGGUUUCUAAAGCUUCCAUUUUUGAUAUAAAUAUCAGCAAGAUUCGAGGACGAAUCUUUUCUAAAGAAGGAGAGAAUGAUACGGAUCUAAUAGGGCAAGUUUCUAACAAUGGUGUGGAGCAAACUUAUGUCAUUCAAAUGGAUCUAAAAGGAGUUGAAAAUCAUAUUCAUAUGAUCCAUAUAUAUUUGGGGCGUGCUUCAACUCAUAUGGGACAGAUUUGGUGCAACACUUGCAAUCAUAGGCUUAGGGAGCCUAAUCAAACCUAUGGGCUAAAACUACACAAAGGGAAGCCUAAAGUGAAGAUCAAGUAAGGCUUUUGUGAAGAUUCAGCUUUGUUAUGAUGGGCUUGCUAUAUUUUUAUUAUUUAACACUUGUUUUAUUUUAGCUUUGUUUGGGCUCGUAUUCUGGCCAUACUUUAUCUUUUAAGUUUUAGAGUGUUGGGCCAUGUUUUGGGCUUAUGUUUUAAUACUUUUGUAUUAUUUUAGUGUGUGAUUGGGCUUGACCCUUAUGUGUUUAAGUCAGGUCCAAGAAGAGUGUCUUAGGGUUUUAUUUGUUUUUCUUCUUACUAUAUAAGGAUAAGAAACAAUUGUAAGAGGCAGCUUUUAAUCAAAAUUUCAGAAUUCUUCUCAUGCCUUUGGCGUGUAUUGCUUUGAGUAAGAGUGAGGAUUUGCUUUCAUCAAUUGCACCAGGAAUCUUGGCUAACUUAUUAACUAUUCGUUGUGGCGUUUGUCAGAUUCUCAUCUAAAUCCUUCGAUCAUUGGUGUUUCAGCUUCUCUAAGUUUGGGGUGCCAUAGGAGGUGGGUUUAUCAAAUCUUUGGAUUUCGUAUCUACUUGUGCGUGUGGGUUUGAGGCUUGUGCCAUAGGGUUCCGCGUCAAAAAUCGCCUGUUUUGAGCCUCUUUUCCCUAAAAAAACCUCAUUUUUCUCUCUUUUUCUUCUCCUAAACUCACAAAAACACUUUCUUUUCCCCACAAAGAACCCAUUUGGAGCGUUUUGAGUUUGGGUAUGUAAUCUUUCUCUCUCUUUGUUUUUAUGCUUUUUAAUUUAUUUUGCUUUGAUUUGAUCUUGUUUUUAGCUCUCUAAUCUGACUAGAGUUAUGUUUUUUAUGAGUUUGUUGAUAUGGGUAUAUAUAAAAACUGCCCUGUUUUUUUUUUUUAUGUUUUGUUGCUUUCUGUUAGCUGGGUUAUUUUAUUGAUAGCUGGAUAUAUAUAAAAACUGCCCGUUAUUUUUUUGUUUUAUUAGCUCUCUUUAUAUUACAUAUUAUUAGCUGGGUAUAUAUAUAAAAACUGCAUGUUUUUUUUUUUGUUUGUUGCUCUCUUUAUAUUACAUAUUGUUAGCUCUCUUUAUAUUACAUAUGGUGCAAUGAUGAAUGUUUAAUUGUUAUGUGAGAUUGUGAUGCUUAUUGGUUGGCUUCUGUGUUGUUUAUGGGCUAAGUUUUGUGGCAAUGUUGCAUAUGGUUAGCUUCUCUGUUUUUGUCAUUGCCUCUUUAGCUGUUGUCUGUUCAAGAAUGGGUAGAAAACAAACAGCCCGUAGACAUCCAUACCUUAGAGGGCAAUAUAGCAGGCAAGCCAAGGCCCCUAGGUCCCCCUCUCCAGAGCCUCCUGCCUCUCCACCCUUUGAGUUCCCUAUAGUUAGAGAGGAGGAUCCAGCCUUUUAGCCUUUUUCUCUCAAAUUUGUCCAUCCUGAGAGAACAGUUCAUGCUAACAGUGUCCAGCUUUUUCGCUCUCAUGGAUUCCUUCAGCCCUUUAGAGUCCAGCAUUAGGAGCAUCUUCUGAUCAUUCCCUCAGACAUUCACCCUAGGCUAGUUAGGGAGUUUUAUGCUAACCUACACACUUUCACAUGUCACACUCCCCCCCAUCUGGUCAGUUUUGUUAAUGGUCAGAGAGUUUACCUCACUCCUGACAUCAUUGCUCGGCACCUGGGUAUCCCUAACUCUGGGGAUGUUAUCUCCACUACUCACAAGUAGAUCACUGGUGAGGUCUCUUCCCUUCACCAGACUAGGGUUAUUACAGGAGAUAGCGAGCGUGAGGAGCCCUCUAGGCUUAUGACCUGUGACCUCACUACCCUACCUAAAGUCAUACACCACACUGUCACCUAUGAGGUUCUCCCUCGAGCAGGUCAUAGGAGUGCUCUCUCAUACUCUGAUAUGUUUGUUGUGUGUUGUUUGCUAGAGGGUCGAGCUCUUAACCUGCCACAUAUCAUGAUUCAUACCAUAGCAGACUCCCUUAGGCUAAGUAGAGGUUGUCUCCCCUUUGGUCGCCAUCUUACCCUUCUUCUUCGAGCCCUAGGGGUUGACCCAAACACCGAGUCUGCCUUACCAUUAUCUAGUGAGUACACUCCCUACACUGAGGCUACUCUCCUCCACAUGGGUCUGACUAGGAGAGGCAAUGAAUUUUAUAAUUCUAGGAGAGAUUUUGCAGCAUGCAGAGCAGCACGAGCAUCGGCGCAGACACAUGAUGGUUCUGAUGAUGAGUCAGAUGAUGGUUCUCCUGCUGAUCCAGAGACAGAGCAAGCUCCUAGUACACGGCGGUCUACCAGGCAGGGUACAUCUUCCCGGACUACAUCUGAUCUUUAUGAUGCCAUGGGUCGUUUGGAGCUGCAGGUUGCUCAGAUGUCUGAUCGCCAGAUUCAGAUGUCUGAUCGCCAGAUUCAGAUGUCUGACCGCCAAACUCAGUUGGAGCAGCAGUUGGGACGACUCACUGACCAGCAGCAGACUCUCAUAGAGCAGCAGAGACAGAUUUUGUAUUUCCUUCAACAGUCAUCAGGCAUGCCACCUCCUCAGCCUCCUUAGUGAUAUUUUUUUUUUUUGGUUUAUAUAGUUGCUUUUGUUAUUUCCCUUUUGGUAUUAUGGUACAUUUUUUUUUAUGAUGUCAAAAGGGGGAGAGAUGGUAUCAUAUAUGUACAUAUUUGAUGAUUUUUAUAGAUAUUGGCUAUAUUUGUUAUUACCUUGAUUUUUAUUUGACUUUUUUGGAUUAAAUAUUUUCUCUCUCUUGGAUUGUGAAUAUUGUGUGUAUUUACAACUUCUUCAUUUGAGAUGCAUUUUUGUUGGGGCUCAUUCAUUCAUAUAGGAUCCAUUGCAUCUCAUUGCAUUGAGUCAAAACCUCCCUUAUGUGCCUUCUCACAUUUUAAAUAUGACAUAAAGUAUUUUUGAUAAGGGGAGCACAUUAAGGGGGAGUAAUUUUUAAAAUGCACACACUACACUUAUGAUUAUUAUCUUUUUGUUUACCAAUUGUUUGUCAUCAUUAAAAAGGGGGAGAUUGUUAGACCUAAAUGUUCUAAUCCUUGUUUUGAUGAUUAAUAAACAAUUGGUGUGCUACUAAUUGUUUUCAAAAGUGUUUGUGUUGAGCUUGUAGGUUCCUUAUUAACAUGAAUGAAAUUGCUUCAGCCUCCAAAAGUGAAAAGUGCCUAUUUUGAAAGCAUGCCACUAGAAAGGGAUCAGAAAGUAAUCUCUGAUUUAUAUUUUGUCAAUUUAUUCAUUGUAAAUUUCAAUUAAUUAAUUGUGAUGGCUCAAGGUUUCUUGCAUUUCUAAAAGUUUUUUAGAUAUUGCCAAUUUUUUAAGCAAUCGACUUUCAGGGACUAAAAUGAAAUUUUUCAAAAGAAGUGAUUUUGAAAUUAUUCUUUAUCAAAAUAAAAGAUUUAAAAAUAUAGGUUAUAAAAAUUCAAACGGAUUGAAAAAUGAAUUUUUAUAACCUAAAUUAUGAUUUUUCAAAGAUUUAAAGAAUUAUUUUUGUGCCCCCUAAAGUCAAACUUUCGGCUUUCGAAUGUAAGGGACAAAGACGAAAAUUCCACACUUUCGGCCGCCGAACAUUAACUUUCGGCCGCCGAAAGUGGGAUUUCAGUAUGCCCUCUAAGCCAAAAGUUUGACUUCCGAAAUUGAGAGACAGAGACGAAAGUCCCACACUUUUGGCCGCCGAAAAUUGACCUUCGGCCACCGAAAGUGAGUUUUAAGUCUGCCUCCGAAGCCUAAACUUCGGCUUCCGAAAGCGAGGGAUAGAGACGAAAUUCCCACAUGUUCGGCCUCCGAACUUUGACUUUAGGCCGCCAAAAGUCCAUUUUUAAAGGAUGAUGUUCUUCACCUCAAAUGGUUCGACCGCCGAACUUUAGCCUUAGGCCGCCAAACCUGAGUUUUUCUGAGCACGAUAUAACGGUUAUUUCUGAAUAUAAACUGCUCUAUUUGCAUUUAAUGCACCUUCAACGGCCAUAUUUAUGACUGAACUAUAAAUACAAUGAGUUUUUGAUAUGAAAAGGUUACAACAACCAUUUAAGCAAAUACUUAUUGAGAUUACAGCUUUUUCACUCUCUCUCUCUCUCUCAAAACCUUGAGCCAAAGUAUUAAUUUCUUGAAAUCUCGUUUUGAGUUGUAAUUGUUUGGCUUUUCUAGAGUGAGUAAAAGUUGUUGAGUGAUUCUACUAUAGUGGGUGUGAUAUUGAGCAAAGGAUUGCUCUUGAGUUGAAAAAGAGAAUUGUAAAGAGCAAAGACUUGCUCUAAGAUUAUAAGGGUUUUAAUCUACACCCAAAGAAGAUUUGACAGUGGAGUUGAACUCUCAAGGGGGGCCUUGAGGAGAGGACGUAGGCUUGAGAUAGCUGAACCUCUAUAAAUUCUUGUGUUGAUUAUCUUCUUCCUUAUUACCUUCUAUUUUAUCUUUUUGCCUUAAAAUUUUUAUAAACCCAAUUCAUCCCCCUCUUGGGUUGCUUCAAGGGACAACCCAGUCAAUACCUCAUUAUUUGGAGUAGAGGAUAGAAGCCCCACUGGCGCUUUCUCCUUCUCCAGAGGUGGGUCUUUAGAGCUUAGCUUAAGGGCGCGAGAGGAAGCCGGGGCAAGAGGAACGAAUCUAUCCACCGACCUAGAGGAGAUGACAUGGGCCACCUCCUGAGCAGUGUUGGCCACUGAUCGCCCAGCUCGGAAAGUAUCCAGGGCAGCUUUCAUGCUUUCCCGAGACAGAGUAAAAUUCUUGGGAGGCUUGAUCUUGUCCAUGGGAACUUGAGAGGCUGCAGAGACCCAAAACCAAAACAAGUUAGGAAGGCAUUCGAGGAAAAUCAAGAAGGAAAAAACAAAGCAAUUAAACGAAGUAAAAUACCCGCAUCCCUACAGUCUUGAAGACUGGACACAAACAUGCAUUUUUCGACAUCAUACUUCCGCUCAACAGAAGUCAAUCGAAAGUAGCCGACCUGUUCCGGAAGGCUUAGCUGGGGCAGAUCGUUGCAGCCUAGAGGGACAUCCUCCCAAGGGAGGUCCACCUCCCAAGACAACCUGGAGUCCUUUUUCAACUCUACCACUGCGAACCCCUCUACCCAGGCUUUGAUUGAGUCCUUGUGACCCAAAAAAAUGGAUAGCCUUUCUCGAGGGGCAAAAUAGUAAAAGCCCUGACUCGCUCUAACCAACCGAAAAAAGGUGACAAACAAGCGCGCUGUGGGCGUGAACCCCUAGCUCAGACUGGCAGAUUCAAAAGAGCACAUGAACAUAAUGGAAUUAGGAGCAAACAUCCGAGGGGUUAUUUCGAAAUACCGAAAAACUUCAAUAAAAAAAGGGAGAAGAGAAAAGUUGAUGCGGAACCCCAGCCUAUUAGAGACUGAAACGACACAUACCCUAGUAAAAAGAACUUAGUUCACAAAACAAUUCCCCAAUCUAAAGCACCCUUAAUUAACAUGCAAUUAAGAACACUUAUAACUGAUUGAUUUUAAAAACAGCAAGAAUAAGAAACAUACAAGUUAGUAUCGAACCUAUUCGUGAUGCAGUGUCAAGAACCAAGAUCUCUCUUAAGCUCUCAAAGAAGAAUCGAAUAAAGCAAUUGUAUUGAAUACUUGAUGAUCUGUCUACAAUAUGGAAAAAGAGAUGCUUUAUAUAACAUAAAUAAAGACCCAUGAUCUUUGCCACUUCCCACUACUAGGCAUGGACCCAUGAUCUAUGCCACUAUCCACUACUCUGCAUGGAUCCAUGAUCUAUGCCACUAUCCACUACUGGAUAACUACCCACCAUUGGUUAACUAUCCAUUACCAAAUAACUACCCACUACUGGUUGACUACCAACUACUAAAUAGCUACCCACCAUAAAUACAAAAUUUGAAUUGUCAAUAAGGACACAUUCGGCCUAAUUGACUUGGAAUGGUCAGAUUGUUCUUCAACUUCAAAAUAAACUUGCAAAGCUUCAACAUAUUCCUUCAUGAAUCCUUGAAGUGCUUCCUUCAACCUCUUGGAUCUCAACCUUGUAAUUGGUCCUUGAGGCAAUGCUAGCUCAUCAUUUUUAGUGUUGUUGGUCGUCCUUACAUCAUCCCCUCCCUCUUGAAAAGAAUUCGUCCUCGAAUCUGUACCAAAAUCAAAAGGAGACAAAUUAGAAACAUUAAAAGUUGCACUUACACCAAACUCACCUGGCAGAUCAAUUAUGUAUGCAUUGUCAUUGAUCCAUUUCAGCACUUGAUAUGGUCCAUCCCCUCGUGCAUCAAGUUUUGAUUUCCUUUAAUUCAGAAACCUCUCUUUUCGCAUAUGGAUCCAAACCCAAUCACCUGGUCUGAAUACAACUUUCUUGCGACCCUUAUUGGCCUGUUUCUCAUACAUUUUGUUACGCUUCUCAAUAUGCUCACGCGCUUUCAAGUGUAUUGAUUUAACCAUUUCAGCAUUCGCUUUUCCAUCUAAAUUAGACAGCUCGUUCAAAGAUAAAGGCAUUAAAUCUAAUACAGUUGAUGGAUUAAAACCAUACACAAUCUCAAAAGGUGAAUAACCAGUAGAAGAAUGGACAGCGCGAUUAUAAGCAAAUUCAACAUAUGGCAAACAUUCUUCCCACGUUUUCAAGUUCCUACCCACAACAGCACAAAGCAUAGUUCCUAAAGUCUUAUUAACAACUUCAGUUUGGCCAUCUGUUUGUGGAUGACAAGUAGUGGAAAAUAAAAGUUUAGUACUCAAUUUCCCCCACAAAACACGCUAGAAAUGACUAAGGAACUUAGAAUCUCUAUCAGAAACAAUAGUCCUAGGUAUACCAUGCAAACAUACUACUUCCUUGAAAAACAAAUCAACUAUGUUCGUUGCAUCAUCAGUUUUAUGACAUGGAAUAAAAUGUGUCAUCUUACUAAAGAGAUCAACAACAACAAACACUGAAUCUCUACCUCUUUUUGUCCUAGGUAAACCUAUCACAAAAUCCAUAGAUAUAUCGGUCCAAGGUUCAGUAGGUACAGGCAAAAGGGUAUACAACCCAUGUGGCAAGGACUUAGAUUUAGCCUGUUUACAUGCAAAGCAUUGAGCACAAACUUUCUCUACAUAUUUUCGCAUAUUAAGUCAAUAAAAGUGUUCGUUCAACAUGUCUAAAGUCUUUUGCACACCAAAAUGUCCCGUUAACCCUCCUGAAUGCUAUUCUCUAACAAGCAACUCACGCACUGAACACUUGGGUAUGCAUAUUUGUUUCCCCCUAAAAAGAAACACAUCAUGCAAAUAAAACUUGUUCAACGCCCAAUGUUCACAUGCCUUAAAUACAUCAGAAAAAUCAGUAUCAUUAACAUACAUAUCUUUCAAAUGCUCAAACCCUAACAACUUAGAACUAAGCAUGGAAGUCAAUGCAUAACGUCUAGAUAAUGCAUCAGCAACCACGUUCUCUUUAUCUUGCUUGUAUUUAAUCAUAUAAGAAAAGAUUUCAAGAUAUUCAACCCACUUACCAUGCCGCUUGUUCAACUUCCCUUGUCCCUUCAAGUGUUUGAGAGACUGAUGGUCGGUAUGAAUCACUAACUCAUUAGGCAGCAAGUAGUGUUCCCAAACUUCAAGAGCCCUAAUCAGUGCGUAGAACUCUUUGUCAUAGGUGGAAUAGUUCAAAUGUGCGCCACCUAGCUUCUCACUGAAAUAUGCUAUGGGUCGGCCUUCCUACAUAAGAACAGCACCAAUACCAAUCCCAGAAGCAUCACAUUCAAUUUCAAAGGUUUUAGAAAAAUCGGGUAACCUUAAAACAGGAGCAGUAGUAAGUUUUUCCUUUAAUGUGUUAAAUGCAAGUUCCUGUUCUUUACUCCAUUUAAAUCCUACAGCCUUUUUAAUGAUCUCAUUUAGAGGUGCAAUAAUAGUGCUGAAAUCUCUAACAAACCUCCUAUAGAAGCUUGCUAAUCCAUGAAAGGAUCUCACCUCAUUAGCAUUCUUAGGUGUAGGCCAUUCUUGGAUAGCCUUAACCUUUUCAGUAUCUACCUCAACUCCACGUGAACUAAUAAUAAAUCCUAGGAAUAUGACACUAUCAGUACAAAAUGUGCAUUUCUUAAUAUUAGCAUACAAUUCAUGUUCACGCAACUUCUAUAAAACAAGUUCAACAUGCCUAAUGUGGUCAUCCAUGUUUGGGCUAUAAAUCAAUAUAUCAUCAAAAUAUACAACAAACUUACCUAGGUAAUCACGCAAAACAUGGUUCAUCAAUCUCAUAAAUGUGCUAGGUGCAUUAGUUAAGCCAAAAGGCAUCACUAACCAUUCAUAUAAACCAUAUUUUGUCUUAAAAGCAGUUUUCCACUCAUCACCUAACUUCAUCCUAAUUUGAUAAUAACCGCUUUUCAAAUCAAUUUUUGUAAAGAAAACAGCACCACAUAAUUCUUCAAGCAUAUCAUCUAAUCUAGGAAUAUGAUGGCGAUACUUUACAGUGAUUUUGUUGAUCGCACGACAAUCAACACACAUGCGCAUUGUUCCAUCUUUCUUUGGAACUAACAAAACAGGUACUGCGCAUGGACUGAGGUUGUCCCUGAUAUGUCCCUUAGCUAGCAACUCAUCAACUUGCUUUUGCAAUUCCUUCGUCUCCUCAAGAUUACUCCGGUGGACGGUUUGGAAUCUGAGCUCCAGGAACAAAAUCGAUUUGAUGUUCUAUUCCCCUAAUGGGUGACAACCUAGAUGGCACCUCCUCAGGAAAUACAUCCGCAAAGUCCUGCAAUAACUUAGAAAAAGAACUAGGCAAUUCAUUAGUAGGGUUAGUCUCAAUCAUAAAAUUGGAACUAAAACGCAAUAUAAUUAAAACUCUCUUCCCUAAGUAUGCUUUCUUCAAUUCUCUCUCUUUACAAUAAAAGGAAGACUUGCUAAAUUCUUCACUUUUCUCACUCAGCUCUCAUUUUACCUCCACACUCACUAACGUUUUCUCUCCUACACAUCUCUCAUUUUUAUCCUUUCCUGCGCAGUCACUCUCCUUUGGGCCAUUCAAAACUUUCUUUUUACUACUGGCCUCUUUUCCCUCAUUCUUUUUACUUGUCUCACCUCCCUUACCCAAUUUAGCAGAUUGUUGUAAUUUCACUUGAUCUGCAUAUACAUCUUUAGGAGAUAAGGGUACAAGUAUAUGUUUUACACUAAGGAACGUAAAAGAAAACCUAUUACUAUACCCAUCAUAAAUGACACGCCUAUCAAAUUGCCAUGGUCUACCUAACAUAAUAUGUCCAGCCUGCAUGGGUACAAUAUCACAAGUAACCUCAUCUACAUACUUGCCAAUAGAAAAUGACACUUUACAUUGCUUGGUUACCUUUGCCUCGCCACUAUCAUUCAACCAUUGAAGUCUGUAAGGAUUGGGGUGUUUAAUAGUUUCUAGUCCUAAUUUAUUAACUAAAAUAGUACUAGCACAAUUAACUUGACUACCCGAAUCUAUUAUCAUGCUACAGACUUUACCAUCUACCAAACAACGAGUGUGAAAUAUGUUUUCACGCUGUUCAAGUCCUUCUUCUUUAAUAUAAACAUUUAAAGUACGCAAUAUCACUAAAGACUCUCCUUGAACAGGAUACUCUUCUAUCUCUACAUCGAAACAAUCUUCUAAAGGUGGUAUUUCAUCAGAAUCAGAAUCAGUUUCAGAGACUAUCUCAUCUCCCCUCACUAUCAUGGCACGUUUAUUAACACACUCAUUGGCAUAAUGCCCACGCCCUUUACAUUUAAAGCACUGAAUAUCUCUAGUUCUAUUUGAUUUAGGGGCUGAUUCAUUUUUACCAUGAGAGUUGGAUAUUUCUUUGGAAGGUAACAUGCCUUUUUGAGUUGAAGACUUUUCAAACCUUUUAGGAUCAGGCUUGGUGUUCCAUUUGGAACCCCAUUUGCUGUUGGAGUUUUGAGCAGCCCUGUUGCUCCCCCAUCUAUUUCGGCCUCUUUGUCUUUCCACCUUAAUUGCAAUGUUCACCAAGUCUUCCAAAUCAACAUAUGGUUGCAAAUCAACCACAUCAGCAAUCUCUUUGUUAAGACCACCAAAGAAACGAGCCAUAGUCUGGUCUUCCUUCUCCACUAUGUUUGCUUUGAUCAGGAGCAACUCCAUCUCCUUAUGAUACUCAUCAACGGACUUUGAUCCCUGAGUUAAUCUUUGCAACUGAUGAUGGAGAUCUCUAUGGUAAUAAGUAGGCACAUAUUUCUUUCUCAUGAUUCGCUUCAUCUCAUCCCAACUAGCAAUGGGUAACUCUCCAUUCCUUCUCCUAAAUUUCACAAGCUCAUCCCACCAUAUUAGUGCAUAAUCUGAAAACUCAAGGGCAGCAAGUUUUACCUUUUUAUCAUCAGAAUAGCUUUGACAGUUAAAAACCAUCUCCACUUUACGCUACCACUCUAAAUAGGCAUCAACAUCAGCCUUACUAUUGAAGCUUGGAAUCUUCAUCUUUAUGGAGUUCAUAUUGUUAUCUACAUAGGGUACACGAUCAUUGAAUCUUCUGGCUCGGAAAGGGGCUGAUUGUGCCACAUUUUCCUCUUCAUAUGAUGGAUCGUGUGUAUCAUCAUCCCCCUGAUUGGACUUGCCUUUUGAAGAUCUAAGGUUGUCUUCAAGGUUAUCCAUUCUCAAAUUUAGCUUCUGAAAACUAUCCAUGAAAGCUUUAUACAUAUCUUUAAGAUCAAACGUAGGGUCAGAAGUAUCACCAGUAUUAUGCCCAGACAUUAUAGAAAAAUUCACAAUUCUCUCAACUCACGUGUUUAACUUUCAAGCACUCACUUGGUAUUUCAAAAGUGCACUUCAAAAUAAAGACUCAAUAAGCCAAGCUUGU
rnacentral:lncRNA from 1 species